UCAUGUGAAUGAGUGAAGCUGCCAGCAUGAUCUAGCUUUGGUUGGCAUCAUUGGCGCACACACAGUCAUCAGAUCGAUUGGCUUGGUGUACCUGCAAAUCAUUGUUAGAUCAUGCAUGACAGCCUCAUUUCUUCACAAU
rnacentral:pre_miRNA from 1 species